AUACGUAGGGGGCAAGCGUUAUCCGGAAUCAUUGGGCGUAAAGAGUGCGUAGGUGGUUUCUUAAGCGUGGGGUUUAAGGCUACGGCUUAACCGUAGUUCGCCCCAUGAACUGGGAGACUUGAGUGCAGGAGGGGAAAGUGGAAUUCCUAGUGUAGCGGGGAAAUGCGUAGAUAUUAGGAGGAACACCAGUGGCGAAGGCGACUUUCUGGACUGUAACUGACACUGAGGCACGAAAGCGUGGGGAGCAAACAGGAUUAGAUACCCUGGUAGUCCACGCCGUAAACGAUGAGCACUAGGUGUCGGGGAGACAAUCCUCGGUGCCGCAGUUAACGCAUUAAGUGCUCCGCCUGGGGAGUACGUUCGCAAGAAUAAAACUCAAAGGAAUUGACGGGG
rnacentral:rRNA from 1 species